rnacentral:rRNA from 1 species
UACACUCCUACGGGAGGCAGCAGUGGGGAAUUUUGGACAAUGGGGGCAACCCUGAUCCAGCAAUGCCGCGUGAGUGAAGAAGGCCUUCGGGUUGUAAAGCUCUUUUGUCAGGGAAGAAACGGUGGUGGCGAAUAACUACUACUAAUGACGGUACCUGAAGAAUAAGCACCGGCUAACUACGUGCCAGCAGCCGCGGUAAUACGUAGGGUGCAAGCGUUAAUCGGAAUUACUGGGCGUAAAGCGUGCGCAGGCGGUUGUGUAAGUCAGAUGUGAAAUCCCCGGGCUCAACCUGGGAAUUGCAUUUGAGACUGCACGGCUAGAGUGUGUCAGAGGGGGGUAGAAUUCCACGUGUAGCAGUGAAAUGCGUAGAUAUGUGGAGGAAUACCGAUGGCGAAGGCAGCCCCCUGGGAUAACACUGACGCUCAUGCACGAAAGCGUGGGGAGCAAACAGGAUUAGAAACCCCAGUAGUCCC